UACAGAGGUCCCAAGCGUUGUUCGGAUUCAUUGGGGCGUAAAGGGUGCGUAGGCGGCGCGGUAAGUCGGGUGUGAAAGUCUCGGAGCUUAACUCCGAAACUGCAUUCGAUACUGCCGUGCUUGAGGACUGGAGAGGAGACUGGAAUUUACGGUGUAGCGGUGAAAUGCGUAGAUAUCGAGAGGAACACCUGCGGCGAAGCGGGUGCUGGGCGUGACACGUG
rnacentral:rRNA from 1 species